rnacentral:rRNA from 1 species
GACGAACGCUGGCGGCGUGCCUAAUACAUGCAAGUCGAACGAACUCUGGUAUUGAUUGGUGCUUGCAUCAUGAUUUACAUUUGAGUGAGUGGCGAACUGGUGAGUAACACGUGGGAAACCUGCCCAGAAGCGGGGGAUAACACCUGGAAACAGAUGCUAAUACCGCAUAACAACUUGGACCGCAUGGUCCGAGUUUGAAAGAUGGCUUCGGCUAUCACUUUUGGAUGGUCCCGCGGCGUAUUAGCUAGAUGGUGGGGUAACGGCUCACCAUGGCAAUGAUACGUAGCCGACCUGAGAGGGUAAUCGGCCACAUUGGGACUGAGACACGGCCCAAACUCCUACGGGAGGCAGCAGUAGGGAAUCUUCCACAAUGGACGAGAGUCUGAUGGAGCAACGCCGCGUGAGUGAAGAAGGGUUUCGGCUCGUAAAACUCUGUUGUUAAAGAAGAACAUAUCUGAGAGUAACUGUUCAGGUAUUGACGGUAUUUAACCAGAAAGCCACGGCUAACUACGUGCCAGCAGCCGCGGUAAUACGUAGGUGGCAAGCGUUGUCCGGAUUUAUUGGGCGUAAAGCAAGCGCAGGCGGUUUUUUAAGUCUGAUGUGAAAGCCUUCGGCUCAACCGAAGAAGUGCAUCGGAAACUGGGAAACUUGAGUGCAGAAGAGGACAGUGGGACUCCAUGUGUAGCGGUGAAAUGCGUAGAUAUAUGGAAGAACACCAGUGGCGAAGGCGGCUGUCUGGUCUGUAACUGACGCUGAGGCUCGAAAGUAUGGGUAGCAAACAGGAUUAGAUACCCUGGUAGUCCAUACCGUAAACGAUGAAUGCUAAGUGUUGGAGGGUUUCCGCCCUUCAGUGCUGCAGCUAACGCAUUAAGCAUUCCGCCUGGGGAGUACGGCCGCAAGGCUGAAACUCAAAGGAAUUGACGGGGGCCCGCACAAGCGGUGGAGCAUGUGGUUUAAUUCGAAGCUACGCGAAGAACCUUACCAGGUCUUGACAUACUAUGCAAAUCUAAGAGAUUAGACGUUCCCUUCGGGGACAUGGAUACAGGUGGUGCAUGGUUGUCGUCAGCUCGUGUCGUGAGAUGUUGGGUUAAGUCCCGCAACGAGCGCAACCCUUAUUAUCAGUUGCCAGCAUUAAGUUGGGCACUCUGGUGAGACUGCCGGUGACAAACCGGAGGAAGGUGGGGAUGACGUCAAAUCAUCAUGCCCCUUAUGACCUGGGCUACACACGUGCUCAAUGGAUGGUACAACGAGUUGCGAACUCGCGAGAGUAAGCUAAUCUCUUAAAGCCAUUCUCAGUUCGGAUUGUAGGCUGCAACUCGCCUACAUGAAGUCGGAAUCGCUAGUAAUCGCGGAUCAGCAUGCCGCGGUGAAUACGUUCCCGGGCCUUGUACACACCGCCCGUCACCAUGAGAGUUUGUAACACCCAAAGUCGGUGGGGUAACCUUUUAGGAACCAGCCGCCUAAGGUGGGACAGAUGAUUAGGGUG